rnacentral:rRNA from 1 species
UACGGAGGGAGCUAGCGUUGUUCGGAAUUACUGGGCGUAAAGCGCACGUAGGCGGCUUUGUAAGUUAGAGGUGAAAGCCCGGGGCUCAACCCCGGAAUUGCCUUUAAGACUGCAUCGCUUGAAUCCGGGAGAGGUGAGUGGAAUUCCGAGUGUAGAGGUGUAAAUCGUAGAUAUUCGGAAGAACACCAGUGGCGAAGGCGGCUCACUGGACCGGGUAUUGACGCUGAGGUGCGAAAGGCGUGGG